rnacentral:sRNA from 1 species
UGUCACGAAGGAUGGCUUACACAGUGA